GCCCUCAGUCUGAGGCGAGCGCCGCUUACCCUUGUCGUCGUCCGCCGCCGCCGCCGCCGCCAUCCCCAAACUCCUCUCGCAGGGCCGCCGCCGGCUCUGAGGGGGAAGUGCAAAAUCAAAGAAGAGCCUUGUGGCAUCUUAGACCCACGCAAUGUUGUUGACGGACAUCAGAUUCCGUGGAAUGGCAUCUGUUCCGUCAGAGGAACCCAGGGCAGCAGGCAGACGGGUGAUACAAACAUCCGAAAGCAUCUUUUAAAACAAUUCCAGUACAGAUGCAAGACUGGGAAAUAUCUCUGCUUAAAAGGCUUGCUGGAAAAGGGAGAUCUUCAGUUGGUGCCAAAAUGACAAAGAGGUGGCGCCUUAAGUUCAAGGUGAGGCCUACUCACAGGACCAGCGAUGACAUUUCAUGCUGCAGCAACCCUUUUCCCAAAAAACACCUGGCGAGCUGCUGCAGAAGGUCAAGUGUUUUUGGGUCUCUUCCAGGAGGUCAGGAUGUUUGCAGGAGGGAUUCAAGCAUGUUCUGGAAAUGUAAGGUAAAGGUGAAGGGGCCCCUGACCA